rnacentral:lncRNA from 1 species
GGCUCUAAUUAUUUGGCUUAUAGCCAAGCACUUGGCUCUAAUAUUGACCUUGCUCUUAGCAGUAAACAUCAACCUGUCGUUAUUGCGCUAAAAGCGCGUGUCCUAUCAGAGUGUGAGAUUAAUUAGGUGGUGAGUAGCGUCACGGCGCACGACGCCAUUGGCCAUUGGUGUGCUAGUCAUCUAUCCGUUCAUGCUUUAUAGUUGAGGUGGAGGAGAGAGAAGAAGAGAGAGAGUAAAAGCAGACUAUAAAUUUACAGUCUGAUCAGACACAAAAAAUCAAAAAAAAAUGUGAGAUAGAUAAGUGGACC